rnacentral:misc_RNA from 1 species
UGUUCUUUCCUCAGUUCAUCAUCAGUGCUAAGAUACACAAACACUAGAUUCCAUUUCCAUUCUUAAAGUUGCAUCAUACAACCUAGCAUGAAUAAAACAAGUUCCUGCCUUCAAAACAGUAAGAUUACAAUUAUUUCAUAUAUGAUUCUACAAGGCCUCCCCAUGAAUUGUUUCAUUAGGAGGCACUUCCGUAGCAGCUAUAAUAACAGGCUUGAUGGUUUCAGAAGUCUUGAUAAUUAUCAGGAACAGAAAUCUAUAGAAAAUUGCCAUUCCAAGCAAGAUUACAACAUCAACCCAUUUGGAAUAGCCCAUUUCCACUUGCCAUACAUCUCUCAGAAUUUCUUCACCAUUGAUCAUGCGAGGAAUACCUCCUGCAGCUUGAUUACUCUGCAAUUUUAGCCCUUCAAACUCAUUCUUGAACAUUCCUUGGUAUGCAUACUUGUGGAAGGCAAUGUAAUAUAAAGGGUACUUCCAAAAUGGCUUUGGAAGAUCAUUGGGCAACCGAAAAAAUCCACCACCUAAGAUCAUGAGGCCUUGAAUACCAGCACCAGCUUCAUUUCUUCCACGAAAGAAGGGAAUCCACCAAUGGCCAUAAACGUGAGGAAUGUGGAUAUGAACAUAAGCAGUGAACCUCUAGCCUGGAUGGAACCAUAGCUAGAGCCAAGAUCAUAAUAUAUGGUGGCCAGACCGAAAGCCAAUCCAACAUAGACAAAUAGGCGCAACCGGUAGUAUCCUAUGUCUCGGUACAUGUUCACAAAGGAUCUUCUUGUAAGAACAAGAAAUUGAUUAAGGAAACUAGCAUGACUUCUCUUCUUCUCCAAUAUUGCUCCAUAAUCCUCUUUAUUUAUUUCUGCUACUUUCUUUCGAACUUCUUGGUAAGUUUCAGACGAUGUAUAGGAUUGAAUGAGGGUAUUAAUCACUUCUUCUGUAGGCGUUGCAUCACUCAUUCCUUGCUCAAGAUCCCUUUCAAAAUCCUUAUUAAUGGUUUUCAAGAAGUGAUCAGAAUGAUUCUGAUAGGUUGGGCAAGGGAAGCCAUUCAAGGUGAAGAACUCAUUGGCUGCAGAAGCAGGACCAAAAUAUACCAUUUUACCAGAAGAAAGGAGGCAAAGAUUGUUAAAAAGCUGAAAGACUUCACUGCUAGGC